CAAAGCUGUUUGUUUCUCUCUUGCUGACUCAGAGACCCUGGACAGAGGGUGCAUAAGUCCCAGAGUGAGACAGAGAUAGGGAACUGAGACAGAAGGAAAAAUAAGUUCUGUUUCGCCACCAGGAAGAAUGCAGAUGGGGAUACAUUUUUAUCUUAAGAGACACAGCCCAUGAAAAUGUAAGGAUACUGAAGGAUUCAUCCCAGGUUAACUGUGAUCGUGUGGACAUUCGCCGAAUGAUAGUGUUCACCAGGAAUUCACCAUCCUUUCCUUUCAUAACUACAAUGACAAGUUAAAGAAGAAUGAUUCGGUUCCCCACUACAUCAACAUUUCCCGAAGCUGACAGAAACAAGAAGAAAGAGAGAC